GGGUUUAGCAAUUGGCCUCUGAUGUGGAGUAAACAGCCAUUUGGGAGGGAGAACACAGAGAAUGAAGUGAUCAGGUUCAUCAAGCUCUUGGAGAAGUUGCUGAACAUCCUAAAGACCUUUGGGCAAAUGACAUAUCUACAAUCACCCUUGUUUGGAGAACAGAGUUAAGUGUUAUGCCUUCUUUGAAUGAAGAGAAAGACCUAAGGCUACACUUCUCAGAGAAACAAGAAAUCAGGAACUGUAGGAAGAAAUAUGCAUCUAAGCAACAGUAAAUGUUCCAAGCUAACCUGUGCAGUAAAAUAAUGUAUGGAAAAUACCACUCCUUUA